rnacentral:lncRNA from 1 species
AAAAUAAAGCAGGCAGAGGAACGUGGAAGGACUAGACUGCCUGAGUCUUCUGACCUUCAUCUUUCCCCUGUGUUGGAUGCCUCCUGCCCUCAAACAUCAGACUCCAGGUUCUUCAGCUUUUGGACUCUUGGACCUACCCCCCGAGUGGUUUGCCAGGGGCUCUCAGGCCUUCGGCUACAGACUGAGGGCUGCAUUAUCAGCUUUCCUACUUUUGAGGUUUUGGGACUUUACUGGCUUUCUUGCUCCUCAACUUGCAGAUGGCCUGUUGUGGGACCUCACCUUGUGAUCAUGUACAUGAGGGAAAUACACACCCCUCCCAGGGAUGAUGGAAGGUUAAGGUCCUAACACCUCCUGCACAUCUGAGCAGCUGCACAUUGAACCAGAUAGUCCUGGAAUGUGGGAAAACAGAGGCAGACUCAAGAGUCUGGAACAUUAUUUUAGGAUCACACAAAAAAGAUACAUAAUUUUCAUAGAAUGAUACUGAAAGCAUCUCAAAAAUAAAAUCACGAGUAUCUGCAGAUCACUAUGAGACUGGACUGGAACAUUACCUUCAGGUGUGUUGCUUCGCCUUUGGAGAAUGCCAUCUGCCAGAUAUGGGAUCAACCUCUUAAGUCUAACAUAGCAAAGAAUAUCCCCCAUACCAUUUUACUGAAGAAAAACAACAAACAGCAGUUCCUUCCGCCACACUGGGUCUUAGCACAUGCAGAGCUGUGGAGUCCUGUCUGUGCACAGAGACAGGCAUUGACAGGUGGAGUCAGCUUCUCCACCACUGACAUCUUUCCAAGUCAGUGCUGUGCUAUGUCUGCAAAUGAGAAAGGGGCAGCCUGGAUGAUGCUAUAAUUGGCAGUACCAACUCCAUGGAAAUAUUCAGAGGCUUCAGCUGUCAUUUUAAAACUGUCCUUCAGGUGGUGCCAUGUCAAAGGGAAGGGACCUGCACGACUGCCCAAGGUUCCAGAUACCUUAAGAGUUAAGCAGGGAUUGGAUGCUGGGGUUCCCGUGUUCAUUUGCCCCUUUAUUCAACUAGUGCUUACUAAGUGCUUAAUGCAUCCCAAAUUAUGGAAGGACCUGGGAACAUAUGUAAGACACUAUUCAUGCUUUCAAGUUGCUUGUAGUUUAGUCAAGGAGCCAGCUUAGCAUCUAAAACCAUGCAACCCCAAUUUCUAACCACCAGUCAACUCUCCAGUAAGCCUUCUUCAUGGUAAUGGCCUUUGGGAUGGUGGGGCCAUAACGUAGGGUUACUUGGGGAAAGCCAGCACCUUGCACACAUCUAUCCUGCCCUGUCCCUGAAAUCCCCCAGAUCCAUCCACACAUCACAAAUCUGCUGCUCCAUAAAGAAGAGCCUGACAUGGGCUUGUGGAGGAAGCAAUUGAUCAGAAAGAUGCUCUUGAUCUAAUUUUAUCUGUUUUUCUGCCAUUGCCUCUUUCCAAAUUCUUGCCCAUGUGGUUUUCUCUUGGUAAUCCAUGUGGCCCUGGUCCGGGGCCUCCAUAUCUCUUGUGACUUAAGUUUAGCUCACUCUCCCAAUUUUCAGAGUUUCCUGUCUUUUUCAGCUUGUGUUGAGAUAACAGCAACUUGAGUAUCUCCAGACGUUAAUACUUCCCAAUGGGUACCUGUCUUUGGGCUUUAUCUCUACUGUCUCUACUCUACAUAAUUUUAAUUGGGUCUAAUUUAGAAAUAUUUUCCUCUAUAUUUUUACUUUUUAUUUUUUAUGGCCUCUUGCUUUUUAAAAUUUAUGGUUAUGGCCUGUUUAAGAACUUCUCUACUUUUUACAUAUUUUCUCACAUUUUCACCUCUUUUACAAUUUUGCCUCUAUUUCAACUGGUAUUUAUUUUGGCGAAUGAUAGGAAUCAGGGUGGUAGAGUGCCUAUAACUUUUUUUCUUCUGCACAGAUUGGCAAUUAACUCAGGAUCAUUUCUGGAAUGAGCUAUCCUUUCUUCAAUGAUCUAAAAUGCCGUCUUUUUCAUUUUCUUAUUUCUUUUAUACAUACGGGUCUUCCAGUUCCGUUUCAUAGAUUACGGCCCUGUGGCUACGGCAAAGCAUAGUAACUUUAUCAUACAUUUUCACAUCUGUUAAGGCUAUUUUCCCCUCUUUGUGUUUUAGUUAGCACAUUUAUUUUAGUUAGUCAAGUUUUCCCCCAGAAGUAUGUUGGGAUUUUGAAUAGGAUUGCACUGAAUUUAUAGAUUGGUUGUAGGCAGGGUUAAUACCUUUGUAAUAUUGGGUUUUUCUUUCUGUAAAUGAUUUAGAUAUUUUAAUAUGACUACAUCACCCCCAGCCAUAUUAAUUCCUUUUACGGCCUUAUGUCCUUCCUAGCUCUAGUCAGUCCUUUACAUUGUGUUAUGAAUUUGUUCACUUGUUUAUUGUCUGUGUCUCCACCUAGAGUGAACACAAAAUUUCCAGAUUCUAGAUCAAUGUGUAGAACAUAGUAGGUGCUCGGGAAUUAUCGUUUUAUUGAUUGAAUGAAAUAACCUUGACUUCCUAAGGCCUAUAGCCCUCAGUUUGAGAAAUUCCUUUUUUUUUUUUUUUAACUUUCUUAUUUGCUGUUUGGUUCUUAUUCCAUUGACUGCUCACCCCACUGCCUCAUUACCCUUAGCAAGCUGAGAAAACUGGGUUAUCAAUUCACAUGUGUGCUUGCAGCCUUGUUUCACUUGGCUAUAACCCCUGUUGGCAUUCGUCAUCCAUCAUUUCCCUCCUGCCUUGGGUGUCCCAAAGCCGCACCUGCUGGUUUCCUCCACCUCGCCGCGGUGUCUUUUCAGCCUCCCUGAAGGCUGUUCUGCUUCUAUCCCGACCUCAAGCGAUGCAUCCUGGGGAGAGGUUCCUCCUUGGCUCUGUCCUUGGUAUCUCUCCCUCAGAAUUGCAUCAUUUCAAUUUCCACCAGAUACUGAUGACUCACAUUUUCUUUUUUGGGCUAAAUCUCAUGUUUGUUUGUUUGUUUUUUCCAGACACAUUGAUAUGACUACAUGCUGGACAUUUUCUUGCGGAAAUCCAAAAGAAAUCCCCAUUUUCUUGCAGAAAUCUAAAAUAAUCUCCCCUAUGUGCAAGUCAGACUGAGCACCACUCCCAAGACCAUGACCUCCCCUGCAGCCCUGCUCCUUCCCACUCACCUCUCCUCUUGAGAAAGCCACCUCCCACCACCCAGUCUGCAGUGCCAGAAAACUGGAAACCAGCCCCUAAGCUGCUUUCACCUUCGGCCCAUUUCUCACUAGCCAGCCUCUCCCACGGCCUCCCCAGUUUCUUCAAAUACACCCCCUCCACUAUUCACCAUACUGCCACCGUGAUUUAUUUACAACUUUUUGUCCGGAUUACCUCAGUAGCCUUCUAAUUGUCCCCUUUGCAUCUAAAGUAGCCCCUCUCAUCCCCCAAAUCUUACGUCACUCUUCUACAUAAUUCUGGCUUUCCAUGACCCAUAAACCACAUUUCUCAAGUGUGCUCUAUGCUGGCUUGAAUAUGUUAAUAAUCUUAAUUCUACUUUUAGUGCAAUUUUCUUAGAGCUGGCAUCACUUUCAUCAUGACGUGAGAACUUACUAGAGAUAGGCAAUGAUGACUCACAGUCAAGCCACAUGUCAUAUGCUGCAGACAUCUGGACUGCUGCUUAUUUGCAAAUCCUUUUCUUCAUAUUUUUCUCAUUUGUAGCACUGGAUCAAUUCCAAUUAAGAGUUUAAUAAUGAAUUAACUAAUGAUUUAAACAGGUGGAUAAGACUAACACUGAACCAAUGAUUUUAAGUAAAUCUAAAUACAUAAAUCCCCCCAAAUUAUUAAUCUAUGUUGUUUACUAAGAAGUGUAUUAAAAUGAUAUUGAAAAAGUUUGCUUUGGGAAAGAGCUAGAAGUUAGAAGGUCUAGGUUCAAAUCCCGCCUCUACUCCAUCCUUGACUAAGAUGUUGGACCCAUCACCUCAACUUUCCUUGGGUCUUUUUGCCCAGACAUGACCCGAUGACACAGAGCUUACCUGGACCUCCACAAUAGUAAAUAGAACAGGGCCAGCAAACCAAAAUUUGUUGAGUCCUUUAGAAUUAAGUAGCUUAGAUAAAUUUUCAUCAAAAUCUUUAUAUAGUAGGGAAUAGAAAAAAGUCAAUUCUGUUUUAUUUGAGGAUGUAUGAAUAUGUUACCAUUUUUCAGACUCUGAUUUACCUUCCAAUUAUUGUUUAUUGGGGUCAUUGUAAAUUAGUUAUCAUUUUUUGAAUACACAUUCACUGCUGACAAAGUGGUGAAGCCAGAAGUUAUGUUUGACCAGGGAAGAUUAUGACCCUCAAAGGAGAAAAAUUCACAGGGGGUAGUUGAUUAUUGGUGGAAUGGAGUGAGAGUGAAUUCCUUAAAAGUUUAAACGAAAGCAGAACUAUAUUCAUAUCAUGGAGGGAACUUAGUUUCUAAUAUGAUGAACUAUUGCCCCAAGUCAUGACAAUACCUUGCUCUCUGGAAGAGAAUGAGUGAGUUUUUCAUCCGCCAAGAUACACACUCUAUAUUUCCAACCAUCACAUCUGCCUUGCAGGCUGACUGAACCCAGAGCAAAUCAAUCACAAAAGUUAAUCCAAAAGACUUCCCUUCAGCUGCUGGAAAUCAGUCAUCACAUCUGUGAAAAGAGUGCUAGUUAUAACAAAUGAGAUCACAAAUUUGACCAUUUUAUUAGACACCCUCUAUUAGUGUUAACAGACAAAGAUGAAGGUUAAGUUGAAAUCAAAUUGAAAUCUUCUUCCCUCUGUACAGAUUGCAAUAUCUGAUAAUACCCUCAACUUUCUUGGUGCAAAUUAAUUGCCUGGUACUCACAGUCCAGUGUUAACAGGCAAUAAUGGUGUGAUUCCAGAGGAGAGUACUAGGUGGCAGGAAAAUAAAUGAGAUUAGCAGUAUUUGACUUGGAGCCAUAGGCAUCAAUUCUGCUCCAGCUGUCGACCAGGUUCUAAAAACAAGACUCGGAGCAGCUUUUGCUCUUGCUAGUGAUGCAGGGCCAGGAGAGCCCCCACACUCUGCAUUUGCAGGUGUCCAUGAGGGGAAGCCACUCCUGCAUUUAUCCUGUGAGUGGAGAAGCUCAGAGGAAUGAGGACAUUCCAACAGGGUAUCAGAAUUCUCUUUUGUUUAUGCUAAUUGACAGCAGGAACAUCACCAUCUUGGACAAACACCACCAUUUUAAGUUCUCUUUUAUUUAAAAACUGCCUAAAUCCAGCCCCAAAACAUCAGCCUAAUGGCUAUUGUCAGCAUAAUCAGAAACAUUCCAACCCUAAGAUAAACACCCCUCUGGCCAGAAAUAUGCCGACCCCGAGACAGCCUCCCCUCCGACCAGAGACAUUCCAAACCCGCAGUAAACUUUCCUUCACAUGGAAACAUUCCAAACCUACAAAAAGCUUCCCUCUUCCUAAACCCUUAAAUAUCCUUAGUCUGCAAGAGAGAAUGCUCCUGACUGAAAUCAGCCAGAAGCCCCUCUCAGGUUUAUUCUCCAAAAUAAACCUGUCUUUGACUGUUGAGCCACUUUUUGUGUUUCUUUCCUCUUUGUUUAACCCUUACACUAAUGUUAAAUUUACAUAACAUUGAGUACUUCAUGCUUUCCAGAGAAUAAGGAGAAUGCAC